ACUAGAAUAGUGCUGUCAAAUCGAUUAAUCGUGAUUAAUCACAUCUAACAUAAUAGUUUGUGUAUAUAUAUAUACAUAUAAACCUUUGUUAGAUGCGAUUAAUCACGAUUAAUUGAUUUGACGGCACUAUUUUAGAGUAACAUUUAAGUACAUUAUUUAAAAAAAUGAGCACUUCAGCGAACCAUGCAGCUAUUUUUAGCACAGUCAUAUGUAAUAUGUAAGCACAGUCAUAUUUCACAUUGUGACUGGAACAGUUAAUAUCAGCCCUCUUUUCACAAAAUUAAAACUAUUCCCUCCCAAUUACAAGAUACAGUUAGAUGGACUACAGGUAGUAUCAUCCUUAACCAACCUUCUGAGUUUUUGUUUAGGUUACACUUAUUCAACAGGUACUGAAAAACUAUAGAAUAAAUCACCUUCAUCAAAACUUAAAAUCAUAAAUCUAUAAGACUUUUAUCUCGAGAUAUAUGUAAUAAUUCCAAAGAUUUCUAUUAGCUACAAAAAUCUGAAAGAAAAAGUAUUUUUUCUCAUUGCACACCUCAUGAAUCAAGACAAUUUAGCAGUGCAUAGAUACAAACAGGUGUUUAGGAAAGUACUGUGGUAGUUUUUGUUCCUCUUCAGUGUUUUGGGAGCAAGUAAAUCACAGGGCUUUUUACCCCCGAAGGCCUUUAGAUCCGUUGUACCCUACAUGUUAUGGACAAGCCAGCAUAUUACACUGAAGGCGCUUUUUUGGUAGAAAGGUGCCAAACUCCGAUUCACGUGUUGCAUUUGUCUACAGCACAAAGGAUAAGGUUCAGGUCAGGGACUAAAAAGAAGCACCGCUCACACUGCAAAUAUUGUGCUCGUAAGUCUGCGUUUGUUAUCAGUGUUAACAUAUAAUCAUCAUAAUACACUAGUAUUCGCAAUAUCUUAUGUUUUGUGGCAAAGUGAAACAACUGAAUAUGUGUUGCUGUUAAUGUGAACAAACUGAAGAUAAUGCUGUGUUGAUCAUAUGUAUUUUUUUGAAUAUAUGGGUGAUUCAAUUAGGGGAACUUUUCUGUCACUCAGCUUAUUUUUAAAAUGAUCUGUUUAACAGUGGAAUUCCUGGUGAAAAACUACAUUACCCAUGAUGCUGCAAAGAAAAUUACACCAAUCACAGAGUAGAAAAAAGCAACACAAACCAAAAUAGCUCUUUAGCUCCGCCCACUUUCAUGAAGCACAGCGAAUGACGUAAUUGAGUCCGUCUCCCUACACUCUCAAUACAUAUAUAUAUAUAUAUAUAUAUAUAUAUAUAUAUAUAUAUAUAUAUAUAUAUAUAUAUAUAUAAAAUCAACAUUUGUAAAUGAGUAGUUUUAUAUUUCUCAAUUGUUUUUAAUGCGAUUAUGCUGUUUGCAAUGCUUCAUGGGAUUGUAGUUCUUUCCAUCACUAAAGCCGUUAAGUACACAGUCUUGUACCUUUGUAUUUUUGUCUGAUUUUUAAAAACAUUUUUUGCUUCAAAUUAAAGUUUGUAGUGUUAUAAGUCACCUCGUAGCUGAUUGGCUUAGUUCAUGGCUUAUAACGCUUUAACAAAGGCUUUUAAAAAAGAAUCCCUAUGGGAAAAAUGAACGGAAAAUACUUCCGGAACCAGCGCUGCUGAAAAAGUGAAUGAGCACUGUUGCACUCUAUUGCUUUUUCCUCAUUUAAUUUGCCAAAAUUGUCUCCUACCUUGACUUUUUAUCUUCUCUUCUACCAUAAACAUAUAAAAUGUUCAAACCAUAUUUUUUUCAAAAAUUGUUUUUAAAAUAAUUUUUUUAAUUCAUUUGCUAUUUUUGUAAAAGUAGAUUUUUUUAUAACAAAGAAUUGCCGUCCUCAAUACAACUAUAAUUACAGAAUCAUUUUUAAAAAAUAACUAUUUUUUUGUUUUUCCGAGAAAAUGUUUCUACUUGGUUAUGAUAAUAUUUGAAAGAAUAUCAAUAAUUUUAAGAGUUAAGAAGAAAUCAUAAUCUUAGAGUAGAUUUAUAUUAGGUGUAAACAUUAUUUUAAUUAUGAAACGAUCUUUACAAUCAAUUUUUAAUUAGGUUAAUUGGCUCAUAACUAACAAACUUUUUUCUCAAGUUAUCAAAACCAUCUGAUCUUUAUUCCGUGAUAAAUAGCAUAGAUUAAAGAGUUUUCAUUAAGUGCCCCUAAUUGAAGAAUCACCCAUACAUUUCAGUGCAGACUCCAUUUAAACGCAAUGAAUGUGAAAAAAAACGAUACGUUUUGUUAAUAAUGUAAUCAAAAGAUGUGUCUAUUGAAUUUGCCUUGCCUGUACCAAAUGAAAUUGGUUAAUACUGAACGAAAGAAAAUAGAUCUUUAUUUUGUAAUCAAGUUAUUCGUGCAAAGAUGUAGUCAUCUCCUACAUUAUGUAAAACUCAAAUCACGUCUAGCCUAAAAAUAGUACGUUCACGAUUUCCCUCAAAGCGAGACGUCGCAGUGGUUUUGAAUUAUGAAAAAAAAAAAAGAAAGAAGCAGCUGAAUAGGUGGCUUGGAUGUUGGGGGAAAGAAAAAGCUGUCGGACUCGUCGCCUCAAUGGCAUGGAAUGGGAGACUACGAGAUCAGAGACUGACUGAAAGACUGAGAGAUCACGCCUUGAGUCCGCCUUGUGAUGCAGUCUCCAUGGCGACUACAGUUUCCUGGGAAACAACAUGGAAGACUAUCCACUGGAAUUCUGGAGUUUGCUGAUGAUGGAUAUUAGGCUAAAUACUCUUGUGAUGUACUCCUAAACAAUGAAGACAACAGGAUUCAGAAGGCUUCGGCGGAGAUCCACGCAGUGCCUAGGACCGAUGACCAAUAGAAACGGAGGCCGUUAACCUUUCUGAACCAAAACAGAACUGAACUCACCUUCAAACAACACAGAAGAUGCCCGCAUAUCUCUACUGCCACUUCCCAUUUGUGUCACAGUGAGCCGCAACACUCUAGAAGUGGCCUUUUCUGGGGUGAAUUCUGCAGGUUCACAUUUAAUAAGAAGAAAGCAAUAUGAAGAGAACUGAACUGUCGAACUGUUGGACAUGAGCUUAUCAUCUAUGAAACUACUGCCCUCUGCUAUCUGGCAGAUACUAAUCAAGCUGUUUUAUGGUGUCCAUCAUGUAUUUACAGUUUAGCUGUCGUUGUGCCAGAUGUGAGAACUGUGUGAAAACUAAAUCUUUCUUGCUCUUUGA